UCAAAGCUCAAGGGCCAAAAAUUAGGGGUGUUUCACCACCACUGGUGAUGAAGGUUAACAACGAGUCGUAAGGUCAGACUAUGACUUAUCUUGACACUCGUUCUGAGCAAAUGAAGAAAACUUGUAAAACAUUAAAGAUGAGCAUAGGACCCAACGAGUUAGCCUAUGAUUCGUAUAGAGAUAUGAUGGCCCAUCACCGUCCAUAGAAAAUCCAGGCGAUGAUUAAGCUAGAAGGCUAACAAUGAGUCGUUGUCAGUCCAAAUGACUCAUUGCCAG
rnacentral:lncRNA from 1 species